GACGAACGCUGGCGGCGUGCUUAACACAUGCAAGUCGAACGGUGAAAGCGGAGCUUGCUCCGCUGGAUCAGUGGCGAACGGGUGAGUAACACGUGGGCAACCUGCCCCUCACUUCGGGAUAACUCCGGGAAACCGGGGCUAAUACCGGAUAUGACCUCCUUGGGCAUCCUUGGAGGUGGAAAGUUUUUCGGUGAGGGAUGGGCCCGCGGCCUAUCAGCUUGUUGGGGAGGUAGUGGCUCACCAAGGCGACGACGGGUAGCCGGCCUGCGAGGGCGACCGCCCACACUGGGACUGAGAAACGGCCCAGAGUCCUCCGGGCGGGAGCAGUGGGGAAUAUUGCGCAAUGGGCGAAAGCCUGACGCAGCAACGCCGCGUGCGGGAUGACGGCCUUCGGGUUGUAAACCGCUUUCAGCAGGGAAGAAGCCGCAAGGUGACGGUACCUGCAGAAGAAGCACCGGCUAACUACGUGCCAGCCGCCGCCGUAA
rnacentral:rRNA from 1 species